AAUUGUUACUCGAUCCAUGUGUUUGUGGGCGGAGUCUAGAUAGGUGGGUUUUGGCCCUGGGUUGACCCGCGGGGCGCGGACACGCACUGUCACGCACGCAGUAGUGGGGGGAACUUUGGGCACUGAAGAACCUCAGGCGCGCCACAACGCGCGUUGUGAGAAGUAUUUCACGAGCAGAGGAGCACAAGUGCUAAUUGGGCAGCCAGGAAUAAAGGGUCUACACCUUCUCUUCUUAGUGAGGGCAAAGACAGACCGUGGAUGAGCUUGCUGUCUCGUCGGUUGGCUGAUAAGGGAAUACGCUGCUGUGGAGUCCAGAGGAUUAUGAAGAAACCCUGUGAGGAAGAAUAGCAACAACCCAGACAGCUGAGAGAGCCUGGAAGUUGCUGCUGCACUCCACACCCGCAGGAUUGGUCCUCUUCAACCUCAAGCGGUUGCCAUGGCUCUUGACUACCUGCCAGCCCCCAUCUUGUGGCGGUGUACUAUGUACAUCACCUGUCUGAGGACCUGAUGAACGAAGGAUUCGACUUUCCUUCCUCAUGGCCUCCACAGUCCUCUCCAACUCUUCUAUUCUCUCCAAGAGAGAAUUCACCAACUCAACUGUACCCCCACCAGCCCCAUCACCUCCCCUCACUGCACCACUGUAACUCAUCCCACCAGACGUGGUCAACCCAAGAGCUAGUCAGAGCACGUCCUAUCACCUUGAAGACCUGAGGUGAACUGUAGACCUGAGUUGAACAGUCUAUGGAAAUCCCAGCUACUUCCACAAGAGCCUUUUCAAACAGUCGUAGUGAGGUGCAGAUACGUUAAGGAAUAUGGACUAGAGACAGCAUCACCCCAGAGUGCAGUUGAACCACUUGUAAUACAGCCCCUCCCCAGCUCCUCACCACCUUUCCUGGGAGGUUGUUGCUGUUCAUUAAUCCACGGUGGU